GCCGGAGUGGCGGAAUUGGCAGACGCGACGGACUCAAAAUCCGUUACCCCUUAAAGGUGUGUGGGUUCGACUCCCUCCUCCGGCA
rnacentral:tRNA from 1 species